GUGAGGUUGAUCACAGCAAACUUAUACCCCUUUGUUUGAUCGUGAAAAAUUUCUCCCAUCCCCUUUGUUCGUAUAAAUAGAUAAAGAAGGCCCUGCUAUUUUAGCAGGGCCUUCUU
rnacentral:sRNA from 1 species